GGUGAACGCUGGCGGCGUGCCUAAGACAUGCAAGUCGAGCGGGCCGCGGGGUUUUACUCCGUGGUCAGCGGCGGACGGGUGAGUAACGCGUGGGUGACCUACCCGGAAGAGGGGGACAACCCGGGGAAACUCGGGCUAAUCCCCCAUGUGGACCCGCCCCUUGGGGUGUGUCCAAAGGGCUUUGCCCGCUUCCGGAUGGGCCCGCGUCCCAUCAGCUAGUUGGUGGGGUAAUGGCCCACCAAGGCGACGACGGGUAGCCGGCCUGAGAGGGUGGCCGGCCAAAGGGGCACUGAGACACGGGCCCCACUCCUACGGGAGGCAGCAGUUAGGAAUCUUCGGAAAUGGGCGCAAGCCUGACGGAGCGACGACGCUUGGAGGAAGAAGCCAUUCGGGGUGUAAACUCCUGAACCAGGGACGAAACCCCCGACGAGGGGACUGACGGUACCGGGGUAAUAGCGCCGGCCAACUCCGUG
rnacentral:rRNA from 1 species